UGAAAUAAUGAAAACAUGAGAGGAUUAAAAGCAUAAAUAACCCAUAAGUGCUUAAAACCCAUUUCAAUCUCAAAUUUAAAGCUAUUCUGCAGCAGCUUCAAAAAUUGUUUCAUCUUCUUCCCAACUCCUCACGCCAAAACCCCCUCCCUUUUAACUUUGAUUUGGAUAAAUGAAGCAAACGAUACCGACGGCGCGCCUCUGCUGGUAGAACGCGAGGGAUCACUGAACGUGGGUGAUUGCGACGUGGGGUGAUGGGGUCGUUGCUGCAGAUGGAGAACGUGCGAGGAUCUGCGGUUUCUGCUUCCAUUGCUGCUAAAACACGUUGUGGGCUAUGGCUAAUUUUGGGCCAAUUGGGCCAAAUGUAUUUGGGCUGUUGGUUUUUGGUUUGGUGUAUUGGGUCAUUGGGCUUUAAGAUUUUGGGCUCCGGGCAAUAAUUGGGUAUUACACUUGUGUAAUUUGCUUUUUCAAGUUUAACUUAAUUAUAAUUAGUUAAAUUGAGUUUAAUUAAUUUUUAAAUUAAUUAUUUAAUUCAAUGAGAAAUUAUUAAUAUAAUAUUAUAGGUGA